rnacentral:tRNA from 1 species
GAGGCUGUAGUUCAAUAGGUAGAGCGUCGCCCUGUCACGGCGAAAGUCGCGGGUUCGAAUCCCGUCAGUCUCG